rnacentral:rRNA from 2 species
GGGAAACCGAGUCUUAAUUGGGCGUUAAGUUGCAGGGUAUAGACCCGAAACCCGGUGAUCUAGCCAUGGGCAGGUUGAAGGUUGGGUAACACUAACUGGAGGACCGAACCGACUAAUGUUGAAAAAUUAGCGGAUGACCUGUGGCUGGGGGUGAAAGGCCAAUCAAACCGGGAGAUAGCUGGUUCUCCCCGAAAGCUAUUUAGGUAGCGCCUCGUGAAUUCAUCUCCGGGGGUAGAGCACUGUUUCGGCUAGGGGGCCAUCCCGGCUUACCAACCCGAUGCAAACUGCGAAUACCGGAGAAUGUUAUCACGGGAGACACACGGCGGGUGCUAACGUCCGUCGUGAAGAGGGAAACAACCCAGACCGCCAGCUAAGGUCCCAAAGUCAUGGUUAAGUGGGAAACGAUGUGGGAAGGCCCAGACAGCCAGGAUGUUGGCUUAGAAGCAGCCAUCAUUUAAAGAAAGCGUAAUAGCUCACUGGUCGAGUCGGCCUGCGCGGAAGAUGUAACGGGGCUAAACCAUGCACCGAAGCUGCGGCAGCGACACUGUGUGUUGUUGGGUAGGGGAGCGUUCUGUAAGCCUGUGAAGGUGUGUCGUGAGGCAUGCUGGAGGUAUCAGAAGUGCGAAUGCUGACAUAAGUAACGAUAAAGCGGGUGAAAAGCCCGCUCGCCGGAAGACCAAGGGUUCCUGUCCAACGUUAAUCGGGGCAGGGUGAGUCGACCCCUAAGGCGAGGCCGAAAGGCGUAGUCGAUGGGAAACGGGUUAAUAUUCCCGUACUUGGUGUUACUGCGAAGGGGGGACGGAGAAGGCUAUGUUGGCCGGGCGACGGUUGUCCCGGUUUAAGCGUGUAGGUGUGUGUUCCAGGUAAAUCCGGUUCACUUUAACACUGAGGCGUGACGACGAGGCACUACGGUGCUGAAGCAACAAAUGCCCUGCUUCCAGGAAAAGCCUCUAAGCAUCAGGUAACAUCAAAUCGUACCCCAAACCGACACAGGUGGUCAGGUAGAGAAUACCAAGGCGCUUGAGAGAACUCGGGUGAAGGAACUAGGCAAAAUGGUGCCGUAACUUCGGGAGAAGGCACGCUGACACGUAGGUGAAGUGAUUUACUCAUGGAGCUGAAGUCAGUCGAAGAUACCAGCUGGCUGCAACUGUUUAUUAAAAACACAGCACUGUGCAAACACGAAAGUGGACGUAUACGGUGUGACGCCUGCCCGGUGCCGGAAGGUUAAUUGAUGGGGUCAGCGCAAGCGAAGCUCCUGAUCGAAGCCCCGGUAAACGGCGGCCGUAACUAUAACGGUCCUAAGGUAGCGAAAUUCCUUGUCGGGUAAGUUCCGACCUGCACGAAUGGCGUAAUGAUGGCCAGGCUGUCUCCACCCGAGACUCAGUGAAAUUGAACUCGCUGUGAAGAUGCAGUGUACCCGCGGCAAGACGGAAAGACCCCGUGAACCUUUACUAUAGCUUGACACUGAACAUUGAGCCUUGAUGUGUAGGAUAGGUGGGAGGCUUUGAAGUGUGGACGCCAGUCUGCAUGGAGCCGACCUUGAAAUACCACCCUUUAAUGUUUGAUGUUCUAACGUGGACCCGUUACCCGGGUUGCGGACAGUGUCUGGUGGGUAGUUUGACUGGGGCGGUCUCCUCCUAAAGAGUAACGGAGGAGCACGAAGGUUGGCUAAUCCUGGUCGGACAUCAGGAGGUUAGUGCAAUGGCAUAAGCCAGCUUGACUGCGAGCGUGACGGCGCGAGCAGGUGCGAAAGCAGGUCAUAGUGAUCCGGUGGUUCUGAAUGGAAGGGCCAUCGCUCAACGGAUAAAAGGUACUCCGGGGAUAACAGGCUGAUACCGCCCAAGAGUUCAUAUCGACGGCGGUGUUUGGCACCUCGAUGUCGGCUCAUCACAUCCUGGGGCUGAAGUAGGUCCCAAGGGUAUGGCUGUUCGCCAUUUAAAGUGGUACGCGAGCUGGGUUUAGAACGUCGUGAGACAGUUCGGUCCCUAUCUGCCGUGGGCGCUGGAGAACUGAGGGGGGCUGCUCCUAGUACGAGAGGACCGGAGUGGACGCAUCACUGGUGUUCGGGUUGUCAUGCCAAUGGCACUGCCCGGUAGCUAAAUGCGGAAGAGAUAAGUGCUGAAAGCAUCUAAGCACGAAACUUGCCCCGAG